GUGUGUGUGUGUGUAGUGAGGAGGAGGACAGCAGCUGAGCAUUUUACUUCACUUCACUUUUAUAUCAACAACAAUGCUGUCAUUAUCAGUGUUGCUGCUGCUUUCAGCUGCAUUCUAUGUGCAUGGUGAGGAACUGACUCAGCCUGCUUCCAUGACAGUCCAGCCAGGCCAGAGUCUCUCCAUCCAGUGCAAGGUUUCAUAUUCACUUACGAGCUAUAGUACGGCUUGGAUUCGACAACCUGCAGGAAAAGCUCUGGAGUGGGUCACACUUAUGGGUUAUGACUUUAAAACUUACUACAGUGAGAAACUGAAAAGCAGGUUUCAGGUUACCAGAGACACGUCCAGCAGCACAGUGACAUUAACAGGACAGAACAUGCAGACCGAAGACACAGCUGUGUAUUACUGCGCUCGUGAACCACAGUGAGACGAAUAAACAACAUCACUGUACAAAAACUCCUCAUUCAGUGUUCACAAUAACAGGACACAGCACU